rnacentral:misc_RNA from 1 species
GAGAGCGAGAGAGAGAGAUGGGUUGUUGUUUUUCUUGCAGAUCAUCACCUAAACUCAACAACAUUCGUGUAGUUCAUCUGAAUGGUUAUGUAGAGGAUUUUGAUUAUCCAGUUUCUGUUAGCGAAAUCACAGGUGAACCCCCUAAACAUUUUGUAUGCACACCAGUUCAGCUUCUAUCAACAGGGUCCAAGCCACUAAAGCCAGAAACCCAACUUCAACCAGGCCAAAUCUACUUCUUGCUUCCUUACUCAACCUUUGCAGCUGAAGCUUCUCCUAUGGACCUUGCCGCUGUGGUAAAGAAGCUUAAUUCAAUAGCAAAAUCAAGCAAUUGUCAAGCUAACAAGUCUUCAAGAACUAUGCCAAUCUUGAAUUCGCCUGCUACAAGUCCUAGCAGGUUUAUGGAGCCACCGACAAGUGGUAUUGCAAAUGGUAUGAGAAGGUCUAAUGGUGGAAGGUCAUGGAAGCCACUUCUUGACACCAUCAGAGAGAAAUCCUUUAAUCGAAGGAGCGAAUCAGAAGUGCUACAACAGGAAAUGCAGUUGGAGAACUCUGAAUCGUAGUUGAAUGCAUGAUCUGUAGAAGGUAGGUAGGUAGAAGUAAAUGUAGAAAGAUUAGCAAUAUCUAUCAAGAAUUGGUAGCUAAAUGACCUUUUCAAUGUAAAGUUUGGUGUACUAGUGUUGAAAGAUUGAAUAAAAUCUUUUUUUACUGCGUUGGUAUUUGAUGCAUAGCUACUACAUCUUCAAAUGUGAAUUCCAU